rnacentral:rRNA from 1 species
AGCAGCAGCCGCGGUAAUACGGAGGGUGCAAGCGUUAUCCGGAUUCACUGGGUUUAAAGGGUGCGUAGGCGGAUCUGUAAGUCAGUGGUGAAAUCUCCAGGCUUAACCUGGAAACUGCCGUUGAUACUAUAGGUCUUGAAUUUUGUGGAGGUUAGCGGAAUAUGUCAUGUAGCGGUGAAAUGCAUAGAUAUGACAUAGAACGCCAAUUGCGAAGGCAGCUGGCUACACAACUAUUGACGCUGAGGCACGAAAGCGUGGGGAUCAAACAGGAUUAGAUACCCCCGUAGUCCCUGUCUCUUAUAC